CAGUCGCCGCGGUAAUACGAAGGGGGCUAGCGUUGUUCGGAUUUACUGGGCGUAAAGGGCGCGUAGGCGGACUGAUAAGUCAGGGGUGAAAUCCCAAGGCUCAACCUUGGAACUGCCUUUGAUACUGUUUGUCUUGAGUUCGAGAGGGGUAAGUGGAACUGCGAGUGUAGAGGUGAAAUUCGUAGAUAUUCGCAAGAACACCAGUGGCGAAGGCGGCUUACUGGCUCGAAACUGACGCUGAGGCGCGAAAGCGUGGGGAGCAAACAGGAUUAGAUACCCCAGUAGUCCCUGUCUCUUAUAC
rnacentral:rRNA from 1 species